AACGAACGCUGGCGGCAUGCCUAACACAUGCAAGUCGAACGAGACCUUCGUGUCUAGUGGCGCACGGGUGCGUAACGUGUCGGAACCUGCCCUAAGGUACGGAAUAACUCCCUGAACGGGGUGCUAAUCCCGGAUAAUUUCUUCGGACCAAAGAUUUCACGCAUUUGGAUGGGCCCGCGUUGUCUUAGCUAGUUGGGAUAGUAAAAGCCGAGCAAGGCGAGGAUCCAUAGCUGGUCUGAGAGCAUGAUCAGACACUCUGGUACUGGGAAGCGGCCCAGACUCCUACAGGAGGCACGAGUGGGGAAUAUUGGACGACGGCCGACAGCCUGAACAAGCCACGACGCGUAAGUGAUGAAGGCCUUAGGGUAGUAAAGCUCCUUUACCCGGGACGAUACUGACAGUACCGUGAGAAUAAGCACCGGCUAACGCCGUG
rnacentral:rRNA from 1 species